rnacentral:rRNA from 1 species
ACGCUGGCGGCAGGCCUAACACAUGCAAGUCGAGCGGUAGAGAGAAGCUUGCUUCUCUUGAGAGCGGCGGACGGGUGAGUAAUGCCUAGGAAUCUGCCUGGUAGUGGGGGAUAACGUUCGGAAACGGACGCUAAUACCGCAUACGUCCUACGGGAGAAAGCAGGGGACCUUCGGGCCUUGCGCUAUCAGAUGAGCCUAGGUCGGAUUAGCUAGUUGGUGAGGUAAUGGCUCACCAAGGCGACGAUCCGUAACUGGUCUGAGAGGAUGGUCAGUCACACUGGAACUGAGACACGGUCCAGACUCCUACGGGAGCCAGCAGUGGGGAAUAUUGGACAAUGGGCGAAAGCCUGAUCCAGCCAUGCCGCGUGUGUGAAGAAGGUCUUCGGAUUGUAAAGCACUUUAAGUUGGGAGGAAGGGUUGUAGAUUAAUACUCUGCAAUUUUGACGUUACCGACAGAAUAAGCACCGGCUAACUCUGUGCCAGCAGCCGCGGUAAUACAGAGGGUGCAAGCGUUAAUCGGAAUUACUGGGCGUAAAGCGCGCGUAGGUGGUUUGUUAAGUUGGAUGUGAAAUCCCCGGGCUCAACCUGGGAACUGCAUUCAAAACUGACUGACUAGAGUAUGGUAGAGGGUGGUGGAAUUUCCUGUGUAGCGGUGAAAUGCGUAGAUAUAGGAAGGAACACCAGUGGCGCAGGCGACCACCUGGACUAAUACUGACACUGAGGUGCGAAAGCGUGGGGAGCAAACAGGAUUAGAUACCCU